rnacentral:rRNA from 1 species
CCUACGGGAGGCUGCAGUGUGGAAUAUUGGACAAUGGGCGAAAGCCUGAUCCAGCCAUGCCGCGUGUGUGAAGAAGGCCUUCGGGUUGUAAAGCACUUUCAGUGGGGAAGAAAGCCUUGGGGCUAAUACCCUCGAGGAAGGACAUCACCCACAGAAGAAGCACCGGCUAACUCCGUGCCAGCAGCCGCGGUAAUACGGAGGGUGCGAGCGUUAAUCGGAAUUACUGGGCGUAAAGCGCGCGUAGGCGGUCUGAUAAGCCGGUUGUGAAAGCCCCGGGCUCAACCUGGGAACGGCAUCCGGAACUGUCAGGCUAGAGUGCAGGAGAGGAAGGUAGAAUUCCCGGUGUAGCGAUGAAAUGCGUAGAGAUCGGGAGGAAUACCAGUGGCGAAGGCGGCCUUCUGGACUGACACUGACGCUGAGGUGCGAAAGCGUGGGUAGCAAACAGGAGUAGAUACCCCGGUAGUCC